AUACGUAGGGAGCGAGCGUUGUCCGGAAUUACUGGGUGUAAAGGGAGCGUAGGCGGGAUGGCAAGUCAGAUGUGAAAACUAUGGGCUCAACCCAUAGACUGCAUUUGAAACUGUUGUUCUUGAGUGAAGUAGAGGUAAGCGGACUUCCUGGUGUAGCGGUGAAAUGCGUAGAUAUCAGGAGGAACAUCGGUGGCGAAGGCGGCUUACUGGGCUUUUACUGACGCUGAGGCUCGAAAGCGUGGGGAGCAAACAGGAUUAGAUACCCUGGUAGUCCACGCUGUAAACGAUGAUUACUAGGUGUGGGGGGACUGACCCCUUCCGUGCCGCAGUUAACACAAUAAGUAAUCCACCUGGGGAGUACGGCCGCAAGGUUGAAACUCAAAUGAAUUGGCGGGG
rnacentral:rRNA from 1 species